UACGGAGGGUGCGAGCGUUGUCCGGAAUCACUGGGCGUAAAGGGCGCGUAGGCGGCCUGGUAAGUAGGGGGUGAAAUCCUGCGGCUUAACCGCAGGGCUGCCUUCUAAACUGUCAGGCUCGAGCACGGUAGAGGCAGAUGGAAUUCCCGGUGUAGCGGUGGAAUGCGUAGAGAUCGGGAAGAACACCGGUGGCGAAAGCGCUCUGCUGGGCCUGCACUGACACUGAGGGACGAAAGCUAGGGGAGCGAAUGGG
rnacentral:rRNA from 1 species